rnacentral:tRNA from 1 species
GCCUUCGUUGUGUAACGGUAGCACACUCGGUGCGUAUUUCAAGAGGUCCAGGUUCGACUCCCGGCGAGAGCA